rnacentral:tRNA from 1 species
UCCCUGGUGGCUCAGAUGGUAAAGAACCUGCCUGCAAUGCAGGAGACCGGGGUUCGAUCCCUGGCUCGGGAA